UGGGAGGUGCUGAGUGUUGGUGGGAUGGCUCAGCUUUUGGGGAUUCGCUUUCCAUAUUAGACUACAGCCUGCUGGGCCAGCCAUGGAGGGAUGGCUCCAGCCUCCUCACGCUCUCUUCUAAAGAAUGAACACCUAGAGUUCAGUUGUGCAAUCAGAAAUUCAUUCAUGUGAGGAAAAAGCAGUUAAAACUGAUGGAAAAAUGCCAAAGAAAGCGGCUGUCAGACUGAUUGCUUUUUGGCAGAGACUGAGAUCAAGAUUUACCAAGGAAAGCCCAUGUAAAUAUGACCCAAGAGGAAGUGACAGAGCUCAAGAGCAUUACUAAGCCUCGAAACUGGAAUUUCAGUUACCUUGCAAGAUAUCAGGUGCCUCCUUCAAAUGAAUUUUUAAGUAUCUCCGUGAUGAUGAAGAAGAACAGAGACAUCAAUUAGGAUUCAGGAACACAAGGCUUUGCAGAAAAUGCUUAGGGCAUCAAGGACUGCUAUUAAUAUUUGAAAGUUUAAAAGAGGGCAUACUUUUCUUCAGUCAACAAAUGACAAAAGUAAAGGCACUGUUUUCAUUGUUCCUGAAAGAAGCCUGGCAGCAUUCCAUUCAGACAUCUGCCCUUUGAUGGUCCCGUUUUCCUCUUUACUUAUUUCAGUCCUUCUAAUCUUCAAGGCUGAGUCUGAAUAUUUCUUCCUGAGGCUUCUUCUAAUCAUCUCUGCCCUUAAGGACAACUCCCUCCUCCAACUCCUAUAGCCCUUAUUAUUAUACCUAUCAUUUGAAAAUUUAGUACAUGAAACAUUAUACUGUUAUUGAAUAAAUAGAUGUUCAUUCUC